CUCCCCGCCCCGGUUCCUUGGCCCCUCCCCGCCCUUCUCUUUCCCCCCUCCUCUUUCCUCUCUCUUUCUCGCUACAGAAGCAGAAAACCAUGGAUCGUUAGCUCCUUUUGAUUCCACCCGUUUUGGACCCGCGGCUGUAGUCUCUAGCUCGAGAAAUUAGAGGCCUCCUUGUUGUCGUCGUCGUCGUUGCUGUUUUCCUCUGCUUCCUGGUCCGUGUUUCAUAU
rnacentral:lncRNA from 1 species